rnacentral:rRNA from 1 species
UAAACUACGAUUAGAUACCCUAUUAUCCCGAUCGUUAAACAGAACACCAGAGUAGUAAUAGAUAUGAUCUUGAAACUCAAAGAAUUUGGCGGUGUUUUAGUCCAAUCAGAGGAACCUGUCCCUUAAUCGAUAAUCCCCGUUUUACUUUACUAAAAUUAGUUUUCAGCUUGUAUACCGCCGUCAAAAGAAUAUUUCUAGAGAAAAUGUUCAAGAAAUUCCAUUGAAUAAUAUGUCAGGUCAAGGUGCAGUUUAUGUUUUAGAGGAGGUGGGUUACAUUGAAAUUAUUCAAACGAAUUCUUUAUUGCAAGAUAAAGUUGAAGGUGGAUUUGAGGGUAAUAAAAUCGAGAAUACAUUUAUGAUAAAGGCUCUAAAACAUGCACACAUCGCCCGUCGCUCUUAAAA